UGGGGAAUAUUGGACAAUGGGCGCAAGCCUGAUCCGGCCAUGCCGCGUGAGUGAUGAAGGCCUUAGGGUUGUAAAGCUCUUUUAGCGGGGAAGAUAAUGACGGUACCCGCAGAAAAAGCCCCGGCUAACUUCGUGCCAGCAGCCGCGGUAAUACGAAGGGGGCUAGCGUUGCUCGGAAUUACUGGGCGUAAAGCGCACGUAGGCGGACUCUUAAGUCGGUGGUGAAAUCCUGGAGCUCAACUCCAGAACUGCCUUCGAUACUGGGAGUCUUGAGUUCGGGAGAGGUGAGUGGAACUGCGAGUGUAGAGGUGAAAUUCGUAGAUAUUCGCAAGAACACCAGUGGCGAAGGCGGCUCACCGGCCCGAUACUGACGCUGAGGUGCGAAAGCGUGGGGAGCAAACA
rnacentral:rRNA from 1 species